rnacentral:rRNA from 1 species
AGCGAACGCUGGCGGCAGGCUUAACACAUGCAAGUCGAGCGGGCACUUUCGGGUGUCAGCGGUGGACGGGUGAGUAACGCGUGGGAACGUGCCCUCUGGUUCGGAAUAACUCAGGGAAACUUGAGCUAAUACCGGAUACGCCCUUUUGGGGAAAGGCUUGCUGCCGGAGGAUCGGCCCGCGUCUGAUUAGCUAGUUGGUGAGGUAACGGCUCACCAAGGCGACGAUCAGUAGCUGGUCUGAGAGGAUGAUCAGCCACACUGGGACUGAGACACGGCCCAGACUCCUACGGGAGGCAGCAGUGGGGAAUAUUGGACAAUGGGCGCAAGCCUGGUCCAGCCAUGCCGCGUGAGUGAUGAAGGCCUUAGGGUUGUAAAGCUCUUUUAUCCGGGACGAUAAUGACGGUACCGGAGGAAUAAGCCCCGGCUAACUUCGUG